rnacentral:rRNA from 1 species
UACGGGGGGGGCAAGCGUUGUUCGGAAUUACUGGGCGUAAAGGGCUCGUAGGUGGCUAACUAAGUCGGACGUGAAAUCCCUCGGCUUAACCUGGGAAUUGCGCUUGAAACUGGCGGGCUGGAGUGCGGCAGAGGGGGGUGGAAUUCCACGUGUAGCAGUGAAAUGCGUAGAGAUGUGGAGGAACACCGAUGGCGAAGGCAGCCCCCUGGGCCGACACUGACGCUCAGGCACGAAAGCGUGGGGAGCAAACAGG